UCUUAAAAGAUAACUCUUAUGGUAACUCUUAUGUCUGAUCACCAUUCUUGUUUUACUCAAGCUUACGCAUCUAACUUAAGUUAACAAUAAAUGUACAAACAUAGCAGAUAGUUGUCUUGUGUCAUACUUUACAUUACAUGAAACUUCAAUACAACGUUAUGGGAAAUAUUUGGUUUAGUGGUCUCUUGACUGUUUUGGGAAUUCCGUUUACUCAGGGUAGGAUUCAGGUGGAGCUCCACGAGGCAACCAUUGCCAUCACAGAAGAAAAUGGACUCUCUUUUAAACUGAAUGUCAGAGUAAAACAAGGCAACAACUUUCUUUCUGCAAGCUUUGACAUUGCUAUGAAGAUUGAAUUUGAGGGAAACCGCCUGGUUCUGGUCUCUACAGAUGUCAAGUACAACACUAACAUCCUGUGUAGUACUGUAUGGUAUUGUACAUGCUGCACUGGUAUUGGUAAUAACUUGCUGUAAAACUUUUUCAGGUGUGAUGUUCAAUCUGGCUGGUCUCGGAUAAUUGUAAAUUAUGGCGUGACACGGGGGCUUAGAAACUACUUGGACAGACUACCAAUACCUCUACCUGAAGGAAUGAGCUUCACUGCGACAAAUAUUGAAUAUCAUGAUGGCUACUUGGUGCUGAGAGGAAACAUGAACUACACUCUAUAAGGUGGAAAGAAACAUGCACCAGAAGCUUGAUGGUGCUCCUCUGAACUGACACUUUUGUUCAAAGCGAUUUAUAAAAUAAAACAAUACAAUAUAAAUUAACAGUAAACAGAGGUGUGGACUCAACUCACAUGGCUCAUUGAGUCAUUGGCGCCGCCAGACGUAAUACUCUACUGUGCAUACAUCUUUUCAACACUUUAUCAUUCAAUCAUUUAGUAUUAGGCCUACAACAAUAAAAAUAGCUUGUGUAAUGUCUUGAUUGAAACAUGCCUAACAACGAUAGCCUAUGUUUGGGGCAAAAAGAGCUUGCGUACCCCCACCAUCCGACACAUAAAAAACGUAACACCUGGACCGCGCCAUUGCACUGCUGAAAAGGGCAAUAGAUUGUACUGAGAACUCUGCCUUUCUACACCAUCAGCUGGCUCUGUGCUACAAGAGGAAGACGGACCUGCUCCAUGGAGACGCAAGGGGCAGAGGGCAAGAGGUCAGACAGCUCAUCGGACAGUGCAUGUACCACCUGCAACUGGCCAUCACUCUGAGGUCAGACUUCCUUUUAGCCAAGGCUGACCUUGCACUCCUCUAUGGGAAGAAUAAGGAGAUGUUCAAGACCAUAUUAAAAGAGGCUGAGGAGAAAACUGACAUGCUUCAGAUUAUACACCAUUACGUGUACGCUUUGGGAAAAGCUUUGUGCCCUCUGCAAUAGCAGCACUGAACAACAGGUCACAGCGGUGAUGGAUCACUGUGCCGCCCUCAUUCCUCUGUAAUGCCAACUGGUGAUGGUUUUCCUGUUUGUAUCUGUGUAAUGUGAUGUAUAUGUGCUGUAUAUGUGCUGUUGUGAUAUAUGUGCUGUACAUAUGCUGUUAACAUCUAUGUGGGUGGGGUAUGUGGUGACAGGGUGGUGGGUGAAGCACCGUAACUGUGUGUACCUAUGUAUUUCAUGUUUGUGAGGCUUGUACGGUAUGUGAAAACAAAUUUCCUAUGUAAGGACAAAUAA